GAUCAUGGCUCAGGACGAACGCUGGCGGCGCGCCUAACACAUGCAAGUCGAACGAGCGAGAGAGAGCUUGCUUUCUUGAGCGAGUGGCGAACGGGUGAGUAACGCGUGAGGAACCUGCCUCAAAGAGGGGGACAACAGUUGGAAAUGACUGCUAAUACCGCAUAAGCCCACGGCUCGGCAUCGAGCAGAGGGAAAAGGAGCAAUCCGCUUUGAGAUGGCCUCGCGUCCG
rnacentral:rRNA from 1 species